AUGGAUUUGGAGGCGACUGAGCUUCGCCGCCGCCAGACACGUGAGAGGGAAGAGCGAGAUGCCAUCAUCAACCAAAGAGAGCGACGUGAGAGACGUGACCUUGAAGUACGUGAGGCUGAAAUCAAUGCAAGGAGGCAACGUGACCUUGUGAGGCUUGAGAGGAUUCGAGAGGCCGAAAGAGCAGCAGCAGAAGCUGAUGUGAAGAUCCAACGCGUGUCCCGGGAACUGGAGCCCCGUGAGGAGCUGGAAAGAAGGGAGCGUGAGCUUGAACGUCUUGAAGCAGAGGAAGAGAGGAGGGUUUACCUGGAAAGAGAGAGGGAGGAACCAUUGCAGGAGAGAAGGCUCGAGCGCCAGCGGGACCUGGAUCUGGAGGCCAUUGAGCAUCGUCGCCGCCAGAUACGUGAGAGGGAAGAGCGAGAUGCCAUCAUCAACCAAAGAGAGAGAUGCGAGAGACGUGACCUUGAAGUACGUGCAGCUGAAAUUGAUGGAAGGAGGGAACGUGACCUUGUGAGGCUUGAGAGGAUUCGAGAGGCCGAAAGAGCAGCAGCAGAAGCUGAUGUGAAGAUCCAACGCGUGUCCCGGGAGCUGGAGCCACGUGAGGAGCUGGAAAGAAGGGAGCGUGAGCUUGAACGUCUUGAGGCAGAGGAAGAGAGGAGGGUUUACCUGAAAAGAGAGAGGGAGGAGGCUCUGAGGGAGAGAAGGCUCAAGCACCAACGGCACCUGGACCUGGAUGCUUAUGAUCAUCGCCACCGCCAGGCACAUGAAAGGGGAGGUCGAGGUGCCACGACCUCACUACAAGCACGUGAGAGGAGUCUCUACCAAACCGUUGAGCUUGAUAACAGAGACCUCUGCCUCCCAGAAGAUCAAGCAUCUGUCACUGACAUGAGGGUCAGUUAUAUCCCUGCUGAAAAUGAUGUACCACCAGAGGUGAAGGUUGCUCCUCAGCCCUGUGAUCCUCAGACCAUUUCAGAUUUGGUCCGUGUGAUCCCAAAUUUGGAUGAUUCUGAAGCUACCACCUGUGAGGUCAUCUGCCCCCCGCCCCGUGAUCUUGGACAGCCCAUCUAUGUGAAGAAAGGCUAUACAUCAUCCCAGCCACUAGUACCAUCAGAAAGGAGCAACAACCAAGAGCCACAACCCCAAAGGGAUGAGCAAGAGAUAGGGGAACGUGAGCUACUGUCUAGCUCCCAGGAAAACACAGGGGAUCUGAAUGAGCCCCGGGAGAGGUCUGAAAUAGGGGUGAAGGAAGGAGCUUACCAGGCUUCUGCCUCUGAGCUGUCUGGUGUUAAGGGUGAGCCUUGCCAAUCAAAGUCCAGUGAGGAGAGGAGGGACAGGCAGUGGCCCAAGAGGCCUAAUGCUGAAGGGAAGAAGCAUCAGCCCCAGAGAGAUGGAUCAAAAACUACCAGGGAGCAGGUCCCAUUGGAACCUGAAUCCAGCUGUCAGGUAAGGGAGCGUGAGGACAGGGAGGCCAAGGGCUGCCCACCCCUGCCCCAGGCUCUGGAGCCACAGGAAGCUUGUGAGCAGGGCAGGCAGGGCACUGAAGGGAGCCGGUCCCAUCCACCCCGGCGAGAUGAAGCCAGACGCUGUUGUGAGGAUGCAAAAGGCCGUCAGCCACGGCAGGAGAACAUCAAGAGGAGGCGUCAGGAAGCGAUGGAUGCCCAGCCUCAAUGGGAGGAGGAAGCACGUCAGCAGAGCAAGGGCUCACAGGAGGCUUCGAGCCGUCCUGCUAGGGAUGUGGCCAAGGCAUCUUAA
rnacentral:lncRNA from 14 species